GGAGCUGCCUCAUUCUGUAAGAGCAGCUUUGUGUCUUCCCAAAUCUUCUUCAUAAUAGCAACGCUGAGGAUAAACCAGGGACAGGAGAGCUGAAUGCCUGGGGAAGAGGGAAAGGAAGUGAGUCUCGACUCUGUGCCUAACCUUGGGUAUUGUGAGUACUCUCUACCUCUUCAAGGCCCACCAGUCCAGCUGCCAACUACCCGCACCGAUAUUUAUUUGCCUCCUUGACAGGCCGGAAGUGCACGAGAAUCAUCACACCCCUGGGAACAGCUUCAACCAGUGAUCGACAGGAGUUGGUGGGUAGAUAUCCGGCUCUUGUCCGUUGGUUUGGACAGCUGACAUGUAUUCCUGACGCUGGUGCUCCCGCCAGGAUCACGCUCCCGUCACUCACAGCGGUAGCUGGCCUGACAAUACUCUCUUUAUUGGCCACCUUCUGUGCUUGUCUCACUUUUCCACCCCACUCCUGGUGUUUGCCUUCACUUCCCAAAUAAGCCCUUGCACUGGAA